AAUCAACGCUGGCGGCGUGCCUAACACAUGCAAGUCGAACGCGAAAGUCCCGCAAGGGGCAAGUAGAGUGGCAAACGGGUGAGUAACACGUGGGUGACCUGCCUUCGAGUGGGGGAUAACGUCCCGAAAGGGACGCUAAUACCGCAUAACAUCCUGCCUUUGAAGAGGCGGACAUCAAAGCUGGGGACCGCAAGGCCUGGCGCUUGAAGAGGGGCCCGCGCCUGAUUAGCUAGUGGUGGGGUAAUGGCUCACCAAGGCAUCGAUCAGUAUCCGGCCUGAGAGGGCGGACGGACACACUGGGACUGAGACACGGCCCAGACUCCUACGGGAGGCAGCAGUGGGGAAUUUUGGACAAUGGGCGCAAGCCUGAUCCAGCAAUGCCGCGUGAGUGAAGAAGGCCUGG
rnacentral:rRNA from 1 species